rnacentral:rRNA from 1 species
GACGAACGCUGGCGGCGUGCUUAACACAUGCAAGUCGAACGGAAAGGCCCUGCUUUUGUGGGGUGCUCGAGUGGCGAACGGGUGAGUAACACGUGAGUAACCUGCCCUUGACUUUGGGAUAACUUCAGGAAACUGGGGCUAAUACCGGAUAGGAGCUCCUGCUGCAUGGUGGGGGUUGGAAAGUUUCGGCGGUUGGGGAUGGACUCGCGGCUUAUCAGCUUGUUGGUGGGGUAGUGGCUUACCAAGGCUUUGACGGGUAGCCGGCCUGAGAGGGUGACCGGCCACAUUAGGACUGAGAUACGGCCCAGACUCCUACGGGAGGCAGAAGUGGGGAAUAUUGCACAAUGGGCGGGAGCCUGAUGCAGCAACGCCGCGUGCGGGAUGACGGCCUUCGGGUUGUAAACCGCUUUCGCCUGUGACGAAGCGUGAGUGACGGUAAUGGGUAAAGAAGCACCGGCUAACUACGUG